AGAACGAACGCUGGCGGCAGGCCUAACACAUGCAAGUCGAACGCCCUAGCAAUAGGGAGUGGCAGACGGGUGAGUAACGCGUGGGAACCUUCCCAAUGGUACGGAAUAGCCCAGGGAAACUUGGAGUAAUACCGUAUAAUACCCGCAAGGGGAAGAUUUAUCGCCAUUGGAUGGGCCCGCGUCGGAUUAGCUAGUUGGUGAGGUAAUGGCUCACCAAGGCGACGAUCCGUAGCUGGUCUGAGAGGAUGAUCAGCCACACUGGGACUGAGACACGGCCCAGACUCCUACGGGAGGCAGCAGUGGGGAAUAUUGGGCAAUGGGCGCAAGCCUGACCCAGCCAUGCCGCGUGAGUGACGACGGCCUUAGGGUGUAAAGCUCUUUUGGCGGGGACGAGUAAUGACGGUACCCGCAGAAUAAGCCCGGCUAACUUCGUGCCAGCAGCCG
rnacentral:rRNA from 1 species